CAGUGUGAGUGCCACUGAAAAUCAGCAAGCAUGCUGCCUUUGGCACACGUGCCAUAGGUUGCCUACCCCGGCGGUAGGGUCUAGAGGCCCCAGCCAGUGUCAGGGUCCCACUGUGCUAGGCACGGUACCUACAUGGAGUAAGAGUCAGAAUUUAUCAUCUGUCGACAAGAGAAAGAGUGGGAAGGGACACUGAGGCGCAGCAAGAGGAAGUGAACUGCACAGGGUCAGGCAUAAUUAAUCUUCAAAGCUCUCCUGACAGAGGCAGGUUGUCAUUCUACAGGCUGAGGCAGAGAGGUAAAGUGAUUUGCCCAAGGGCACAGAGCAAGUCAGUGGCAGAGACAAGCUUAGCCCAGAGAGGAGCUUUUGGUUGCCAGCUCUGUGCUCAGAUCACUAGACCACAUUUGCAGGUGCUUGCAGCUGUCCCUGAUGAUAAGUUUCCCAUCCUGAAGCAGUCACCCAGACAUGGGCAAAGGGAUCCAGAGAAGAGGGACAGGGCCUGACAGUUUAUAAGUAGGACAUCUGCCAUCAGUGCCGACACACCAGGGCUCUCCAGAGCUAAAACCAUGAGCUGCUAGAGCUGUAACCGAUGCACGCCCUGUGCAGACGACACAGAGCGGGACCUGCAACCCAACCUCACCAGUGGGUUACACAAGCAGGGACACUGUCUGAAUCCCAGACCAUGAAACAAAAGGGAGCCAGAUAUCAAAGCCCUUGGUUAAAGUCCGUGCUGGUCCUGGAGCGUUUUCAGAUCCUGCACUGAUGGGAGGCAUCUCCUCCGACUCCCUCCACAGCAGCUGGGGGUGCACCAAGACGGCCUCGAAAGCUCCCUUGUGCGUGUGGUUGUGUGUGCAAGAUGCCUGAAUGGGUGUAGAAUUGUGUUUGGGACAAGUGUGUGGGGCACACGCCUUUCAUUUGAUUGCCCCAGACUUGUGGGGAAGUGACUGAUCCUGAUCUAGAUCCAGACUUUGUGACUGCCCCACUAUCACCCUCUCUAAUGGAGCCAAAACCGGGGUUCGAACCUCCCGCUUGCUCUGGGGAAGUUCGGAUCUGGAGCCGAACUCUCUGCUCUGGAUUCAUCGCUCAUAAAGCACACACGGGCUUUGGCUGAGGCCAAACGGGGGGCUCUUCCCAGAGCGGCAGAGGCUCGGCGGCCAGAAAACGGUGAGGAACUCGUAUGGGCAGAAAGAGGGAGAUCAGGUAAUGCAGUUGCUUAUCCUGCCUGUGUUAGGUUUGCCCAGUACCAACAGAAUGCUCACCCUGGCACCAUCCCCUUCCAUUGCCACUCUGCACCCGGCUGCUGGCAUCCUAGUGCCAGCCCCAUCCAUCGCCGUUUUGCACCAAGGUGGCACUAUUCUAAUACCGUCUCCAUCCAUCGCUACCCGGUACCUUAGUGACAUCCUCGCCUAUCACCACCCUGCAGCCUGGCCUGCAGGAGUUUGUGUUGCCUUUAUCACCCAGCCUGGGUUUUCCAAGCGCAACGGCUCAAUCUCCCCUCCCAGCCCCAGCCUCUGAGCUGAUCUUGCAAAGCAUAAAACUGUCCCGAGGGACCUUUCGGUGGCUCCUGGAACCGCCUGGUGUGAGUUUGUCCCUGCCAGGCAAUGACCCACAGAGGUAUCGCUGUCAGUUUCCCUAUAAUUGCCUGGUUAUUGAUGAUAAAUAAAAGACUUGUUUUAACUAAAGACAGAAGCCACUUGUGACUGACCUGUUACUGUCACCAGCCAGCGAGAGGCAGCUUCCAGGUCGAUGGAUGUGUUAGAUUAUGCGAGCGUACGCUUCUUUGGGACUGUAUUUGUGUGUGGCCUCUGUGCGUCGGGAGCCGAGUUUCAGGUGGUGAAUUACACGGCUCCCUUUGAAGAAGGGAUGUGUGAAUGGCUAUAUGCGUCCAUGGGAGCUGUGUGGGUGCGUGUCCCUGCGUCGUGAAUAUUUGUGUGGCUGCCAGCCACUCUGUGGGAGUUGUGUGACUGUGCGUGUGCCCGUGUGGAUGCCUGUCCCAGUGUCUCUCUGUCUCAAUGAGGCGUGGGUGGGUGUGAGCUGUGUGUCUGUGUGUAAGGUGUGGGGAUGUAAGCUGUGUGUCUCGGCAGGGGUGUUCGCUGUGCAUCCCUGUGUGUGAGGUGUGAAUGGUUGUGAACUGUGGGUCUCUGUGUGGGUGUGAACUGCGUGUCUCUAUGUGGGUGUGAUCUGUGUGUCUCUGCGUGUAAGGUGUGUGCAUGUAAGCUGCGUGUCUCUGUGUGGGUGUGAUCUGCAUGUCUCUGUGUGAGGUGUGAUCUGCGUGUCUCUGUGUGGGUGUGAUCUGUGUGUCUCUGUGUGUAAGGUGUGUGCAUGUAAGCUGCGUGUCUCUGUGUGGGUGUGAUCUGCAUGUCUCUCUGUGUGAGGUGUGAGCUGUGUGUCUGUGUGGGUGUGAUCUGUGUGUCUGUGUAAGGUGUGUGGAUGUAAGCUGCGUGUCUCUGUGUGGGUGUGAGCUGCAUGUCUCUCUGUGUGGGUGUGAGCUGUGUGUAUGUGUGUAAGAUGUGUGGAUGUAAGCUGCGUGUCUCUGUGUGGGUGUGAGCGGCAUGUCCCUGUGUGGGUGUGAGCUGUGUCUCUGUGUGGUUGUGAACUACGUGUCUGUGUGGGUGUGAGCUGUAUGUGGGGUGUGAGCUGUGUGUCUCUGUGUGGGUGUGAGCUGUGUGUCUCUCUGUGUGGGUGUGAGCUGUAUAUGGGGUGUGAGCUGUGUGUCUCUGUGUGGGUGUGAGCUGUGUGUGACUGCAGUGUAUUUAGAGGGAGCCGAGCAGUUGCAAUAUUGCCCAAGGGGGUUCUGAACAGAGGGCUGGGGGGUGACUGGUUAGCGCAAAGGGCUCUGUCUCCCUAACCCCUUCUUUCCACCAACCCAGCUAGAGCAGGGGGCAGCCCCAGGCUGGCAUCCAUGACGCGUCAGCCACCGGCUGUGGCUCAUGGCAUCAUGACGGGGGGGCAAGUGCUGUGAAUCCCCAACCACAGAGGUGAGAGGGCUCCACACAUGGAGGGUUUGCCGUGGGGGCUCAUGUCGCACCCUCUGCUCUGGACUCACCACAGGGAGGGAAGCAGGGUGGACUUGCAGGUGUCAUCAGCUUCCCCCUCGGUUACCGGCCUGUACGGUCACCCUGCCGUGCGAGAACAUCUGUCAACUGGAGGGCAGGGAUAUAAAUGGGGGGGGCGUUAAGUGAGGGCAGGGUGUACAGCCAUCUAGCAGGCCUCAGCAGCUCUUCUGCGGGGCUGGCCUAGCGCGUGGGACUCUGCCUCGCAGGGGUAUGGGGCGAAACUCGAACUCAGAGCUUCCCUCCAGGGGUGACGGCAGCUUGGCUGAGGUGUGACAAGGAUGGCAGGGGUGGCGUUCCACAGAGCCCCCUAUUGUCUGCUGGGGGAAGGGCUCCAAAGCAGGACCGGGAAGGGUAAAUGGGAGAUGUAUGGUGAAUUCGGUCCCAGCCCCACAGGUCCCUCAGGAACAAGGAGCAACCAUUGAGGGUUAAACUGCUCCAGGCCCGGGGGCCGGUCUCCCCUCCCCAGGAGGGCGACACGGGGCCCAAUGUUUACUGUCAGCACAGCCAGAGUGCUUUUCAAUUUACUAUGAACACAAGAGUCACUUGGGACAGGAAUUUGGGGGCGGGGUUGGAGGGCGUCCCGUCCCAGCAAGACGGGGGCAGAGGUUUAUAGAAUGGAAGCGCUGGGAGCCUGUCCCUUCUCUCCGCCUGGAUGGUGGCUAGGGGGGCGCUGAGAUCUCAGGUAGGUGGGAUCUCCCAAACUCGCUGCAAGGCCUCCUCUCACCUGUA